rnacentral:lncRNA from 1 species
UGCGCGCUUGAGCCGGAGCGGGGCUCGCCCCUCGUCGGCUCCCGCCGCCCAGCCGGUGAUCGCUCUCCGGCCGUCCCCGGCACCCUCGGCCCCCCACGGCGGUUGGUCCGGGCGGGGGAAGGAGAAAGUGAGACUCGGGGUCAUCACCAAUCCAUCGCCAGAAGGGGAGGAAAUUGGAAUCCAGCAGCGGCGAGCAGCAGCUGGGCGGAUUUAUUUAAUGGGGAUGUGUUCAAGGCAAGACCGAAUUCAGAAGGAUAUCGACGUCGUGAUCCAGAAGUCCAGAGCUGAGGACUGCCUGUUUGCAG